rnacentral:sRNA from 1 species
AGUCGCAGGCGUGCUGCUGAGGCGUGAGAAUGGCGUAUCGCGGCCGGCGUCCGGAGCAUGGCGGACCCCCAGAGCUGUUUUAUGACGAGACAGAAGCCCGGAAAUACGUUCGCAACAUUUCUGCUGUGCAGUGGCUCUGUAAUGCUAACAAGAAGUCUGAAAACCCUGCCAAGCGCCUGUACUGCUUUUUUGCUUCUCUUUUUUCUGUUCUCGUCCGGGGAUCCCGAGCUGUCCUGCAGCUGUACCCUGAGAACUCAGAGCAGUUGGAGCUGAUCACAACCCAGGCCACAAAGGCAGGCUUCUCCGGUGGCAUGGUGGUAGACUACCCUAACAGUGCCAAAGCAAAGAAAUUCUACCUCUGCUUGUUUUCUGGGCCUUCGACCUUUAUACCAGAGGGGCUGAGUGAAAAUCAGGAUGAAGAUGAACCCAGGGAGUCUGUGUUCACCAAUGAGAGGUAAAGCAACUGCUGAAGCCUGCCCCGGCUGCAGCAGGGGCUGCCACAUUU